rnacentral:tRNA from 20 species
GCCGGAAUAGCUCAGUCGGUAGAGCAGAGGACUGAAAAUCCUCG